rnacentral:lncRNA from 1 species
GAAUAUAAAAUAUAUAUUUUAAGCUGAAUCAAUGUCGCACGAUAAGGAAUGAAAUAAGUGGAGUUUCCUAAUAGUUUUGUAGACUCUCGAAAAUAAGUUCAGACGUCUCUGUACCGACUGCAAGACUUUACUAAACUUGCUUAUGACUCGUAGCACCUAUGAAACCUAGAAGCUCUGAUACCAAUUUGUCACGAUCCCAAAACCCUAUCUUAGGUAGUCUUCAUGGCACCUAAUCACUGGAACUAAGUUAGCCUAACACGUGCUGAGAAUUAACGAAAUUUUACUAACUUAACUUCAAUACACUAAUUAAUAACUGAAACAACAUAGUUGAUCCAACAUCAGUAAUACAAUUCCAAAACCGGUAGUACAAGACAUAAGCUUUUCUGAGAGUAACUAGAAAUAUCAAGUACAUCAUUGUCCCGAAAUAAUAGUAAACAAUGGAAAUGAAAAACUAGAAAUAUCAAAUACAUCACUGCAGAAGCGUAGCAUGAGUACACCAUAGCGGUACCCAGUAAGUAUCAAGUCAAACCUCGGUAGAGUAGUGACGAGGCCAGAUCAAGACACCCACUAGACAUAUAAACCUGUGCAAGAUAUAACAUGAAGCUAACAAUGGAAAGAACAUCAAUGUAUGACUAAUAACGAAAAGAUUAUUGAUUUACAACCAAUAAUGAAAAUAAUAGAAGCAUAAAUAGCAGCAAGAAGUAAAUGGGAAUAAAGCAGUAACAACACCAAAGAGAUAUGAAUGAACUCAAAUAAGGAAAACAGAUGGCAGCUCAAUUAAUCAAAUCAUUCCCAACGCAUGGACUUGCAACAAGAGUUACCCCAAGGCACCACACCUCGUAACCACAAAUCAUGAGUCAAUUUCCAAAUCGUCAUGUCUGGCACCUUGUACCCACAAAUAACAAUCACCUUCGCUCGACAAGGCCCACCUGCUACCAUGUACAUUGCAACCGUGUCAAAUAUCAAUUAAAGUGAUCAAGAAUUGUAUAUAUAAUACCAAAUAACCGUAAUAAUACUCUGAAAUAAAGUAAGACGUCAAAUGAGAUAAUGAGUAUAUUUUAGAAAUCAAAUAAAGUAAAAUAAGAACAAAUUAUACAAAUAGAGUAUCAUAUAGGUUUAGUUUAGAAAUCAAUAAAAUAAGUAAAAAUAUCGUGUUUAAACAAAGUAAAACACCUGUUAAAUUAACGAGUUAAAUAUGUAAGUAAAAUGUGAUGACACUUUUCAAGUAAAGAAAACAUCAAAUAGGGUGAAGCAUGAAAUUUGAAAACCCAAUUAAAGUAAAUAUGAGAUAAGCAUUUAAAAUAGUGAAGUACCGAGUGAGAUAACGAGUUUUAUUUUGAAAGUCACAUAAGUAAAACAACUUAAGAAUUCUUUUAUUUAGAACCGCUAAGUUACCAACAACUUAACCUAAUAUGAGAUAAUAACCUCAUGCACAUAAAUUCACCUUGACAAUCAAUUUAUCAAGAAAUAACUGAGACACAAAUUGGCAUGUUAAGGUAACACAACAAAUCACGUAGAAUGCAUGACUCACACAAGAAGUCAACAUCGUUCCAUUACUAGAAUACCGACAGUCCACCAAAUACGAUCAAAAUAGAAGUGAAAUGGUUUAAGAAACAAUAAUAAAUGUUCAUCCGACAAACCAUUCCAACAUAAAAUGUACUACGAGAAUCACAACCAGGAAUAACUUUAUUAUCACAAACAAUCACAACAUAUCAAUCUUUUGCGGCGUGCAACCCGAUCCCUCUUAUAUCAUAUCAUCUGUUCUUAUCGCUCUGUACCAUAUCUUUUCAUAUUAUUUCAAUACCAUUGCGGCGUGCAACCCGAUCCCCAAACAAUAUGAAUUAAGAAAACAAACUACAACCAAUUAUGACGUAUCACAAAAUUAAACGAAAUAAAGGAACUAAACAAAGAAGGUCACAAGCGGAUAAAAUAGUUACAUGAUGACUCACAAAGUCAAAUAGCAAGUAAUGACUGUUCAUGAAUAAAGGCACAAUUACAAAGAAUCAAUUAACAAUUAAGGAACAUAACGGAUAUGGCAUGAAUUCAACAAGUAAUUGUAAUUAACAAUUAAUGCAGGUAAGGAGUAAACUUGACAAUAAAUGAUAGAACAUGUAUUAAACACUUCAAUUAAACGCAUGAAAGAAUCCUAAAAGUCUAAACCAGUCAAAUGCCACAUUUAAGCUCGUGUACACGUCUUUCACAUAAUUUAAAUAGUGCAAUCAACCCAAAUCCUAAGGAGUAGUUUUCCCCUACACAAAGUUAAGCAAGAUACUUACCUCAAUUAGGCCAAAUCAAUACUCAAAAAAGCUUUUCCCUUUAAAAUUCACCUCCGCUCGGCUCAAAUCUAGCCAAAAAUGACUUAACAAUAUCAAACAAUGCAAGAGAAACCAAUUCCAAUUAAUAAAGCUAUCAUCUUUAUACAAUUCCCCAAAAGUCAACAAAAGUCAACCCCGGGACCGUCCAAUCAUAACUCGAGUCGAAGGGAAGGUAUCGACUACCUAUAGCCACACGAGUUCAUAUAUGUGUUUGGUUUUCAAAUUCGAGUCCAAUUCGACUCUCAAAUCUCAAAUUUUUAUUUUUCAAAACAUAGAUCAAAUCCCCAAAAUAUCUCUUAGAUUCUCAUGAAUUAAAUAUUAAAUUUUGUAUAUAAUCAUGAAAAAUUGUUUAUUGAAAAUUAAUUAAAAUCACUUACCCAAUAGUUUGGUAUAAAUAAUCUCUCCACCAAAUCGCCUCCUACCGAGUCUAGGGUUCAAAAUAUGGUAAAAUGAAGCUAAGUCCCUAAAUACUCACCUAUAAACAAGUUGCAGAUAUCGCAUUUGCGAUCUGGGUUUCGCAAAUGUGAACCCCGCAAUUGCAGAAACUUGAUAGCAAAAGCGAUCACUGACCAACUUUGUUGACGUCGCAAAUGAGACAUAAAAGCUCGCAAAUGCGAAGCUGGGCACCUCGCUAAAGCGACGAGUGGGUCGUAAAUGCGGAAAAAUACCUUGCCUAGGUGCCAUCGCAAAUGCGAUCAACUUCUUCGCAAAUGUGAACUCAACAGUGCAACCACAACCUCGCAAAUGUGUAACCCUCCUCGCAAAUGCGAGGUUCACAAAUGCGAACAAAAUCUCGCAUUUGCGAGACUUGAGCACCAGACCAAAACCAACAAAACUGAAACUCUUCCAAACACUCUGAAACGCGUCCAAAACCCACCCGAGCCCCCGGAGCUCCACAUGAAAUAUCUACACAAGUGCAUAAAUAUCAUACGAACUCGCUCGCUCGAUAAAAACACCAAAAUGACAUCUAGAACCACGAAUCGGACACCAAAACACAUGAAAUUAUCAUUGAACUUCAAAAAUUACUAGAAACACAACCACGCGUCUGAAUCCUACCAACCAACUUCUAAUCACACCAAAUUUUGCAGACAAGUUCCAAAUGACGGACUUAUUCAAGUCUUGAAAUCAAAAUCUGAACCCGGUAGCUAUAAAGUCAAACCAUGGUCAAAUUUAGAAAAAUUCUAAACCUUUAAAUUGCCAAUUUUUGCCAAUUUGUGUCGAAACGCUCUAGAAUUAUCCAUAUGCAAAUAUUCUGAUCCAAGGUCAAAUACUGAAAAGUCAAACUUGGUGAACUCUUUCAACUUCAAGCUUCUCAAGUCAGAUUCAUCCUUCUAAAUCAAUUCCGAACAACUUGAAAAUCGAAACAAACGAUGCACGCAAAACAAAAUACACCAUGUGAAGAUAUUCGUGACCUCAAACUGCCGAACUGAAUGCAAAUACUAAAAACGAUCGGUCGGGUCGUUACACAUUCUCCUAAAAUUUCUCACAAAAACCCCAAUUUUUUCUCUUAGAUUUUAUCAAUCAAAAGCCAAAAUCAAUGAUAGAAUAACGAAUAAUAAUCAAAUCCGAGUUAAGAACACUUACCCAAUCCAAGUGGGUGAAAGUCGCCUAGAAAAUCACUCCAAUCCAAGCUCCCAAUAUCAAAAUAUGAUAAAAUGAAGCCAAACCAUCGAUUAUAAUUUGCUGCGAAGUGAUCUUGCAUCUGCGGUCCAACUUUCGCUUGUGCAAAGUCGCAUUUACGACCCAAGUCUCGCUUCUAUAGGCUUCACUUAAACUGCCGACCUUUUGCAUCUACACACACGGCUCGCAUCUGCGGCUCCGCUGGUGCGACUAAACCACAUAGAAGCGCCCUCCUAAGGAGCAACCACCCCUACACAUCUGCAUACUUCCAGUCCCAGGCCUACCUUCGCAGGUGCGGACUUCUCCCUCGCAGGUGCAACAUCGCAUUUGUGCACCGCACUUCGCAGUUGCGGGGUACUAGCAUCAGACCUGCCAAGAAGCAUCAAAAUGAUCUAGAACCUAUCUAAAACACACUCGAGCCUCUCGGGACUCCAUCCAAUCAUACCAACCAGUCCCAAAACAUAACACUAUCACACCCCAACCUAGGUGAGGUAGACAGGCAUCUAAUAUCUUACGUAUGCGAGCAACCAUUCCGUAAAAACACACGAUAUACUUACCAUAUUAAAAGCUCCUGCAAUCAGAAAAUCUCAAACAUAUAUAUAUAUAUAUAUAUAUAUAUAUAUAUAUAUGUUGCUCUCAUUAUUUAUUGAGAUUGUUGUGAGCCAUUGAGCUGUUAGGGUGUGUGGAUUCACGUUUCUGCUUUGAGGUAUCACUUAGGGCAUAGGUUGAAUCACAUUCAUAAUGAGGUAUCAGUUAGAACAUAUGGAUUUACAUUCAUAGUUUGCACAUGGAUAAGGAUACAUAGGGUUGCCCUCCCAUUUCUUUGUUGGGGACGUUCACGCAAGUUUGUGAGAGAGUGAUAGAUUUCAGGUUUGUUAUGAUACCAUUUGAUGAGUCCGGGCAUAAAAGUAGAAGCUUUAUCUAUUUUAAUUGAAACCCAUGCUUAUUCAUGUACUAGUAGGUGUUGCACGUGCUACGCACGGGCCCAACAUAGUAAAGUUGUAGUAAACAGAGCUUCGCAGGAAAUCAUUGAGCUAGUAAGCCGCAAAAUUACAGGGUCUAAAGAGUUUUGGAAGGGAGUUAUUUCCAAAAGAAUUUUCAAACCAAGUACAACACCCAAUUAAAAAAGGAAGCACAACACCAAACCAUAAGAAAACACAUCAACCCUAGACAAUCUGCAACCAAGAAAGAAUCGAAAAAAGAAGUGAGAGAUGCUUAAAGAAGCAGUCGGUAGCAUUCUUCUGUUUUAACACUCUAUCAAUCUCAUCUCUUGGAUGUCGCUAAUUGUUGUUGUUUGUCCAACAAACCAGUCUCACAUUACUCCCUAUAAGAAUGAAUGAUUUCCACAAAAAUCAAAGUAGUCGAGUUUCCACAUGCAUCAAAAACAUGGCAACUCAAACUAUAGAGAACAAAAGGAACAUUAAUAUAAAGAAUCUUACAACUUUGAUUAGUACGAUUUUUAGAAAUCAGAAUUUCUAGACAAAUUUGAAGUUAAAAGAACUAUUUGAUUGCCUAAUGAACCUUGGUGAAUAUCAAAUGACUCAAUUGUAACCUACAUACAUCAAAGAUUAGAAGCUACCUAUAUAGAUUGUGGAUGCUUCUAUUCUAUAGCAGAUAUUACAUCUGCUAGAGCUGAAAGUAACCUGUCAAUGUUCUAAGCUUCCUGAACCAUAGCAGAAGACUUCUAUGUACCAUGAUUGUGCAUAAUACGACACUUUUAUGUACAAUACUGCAAUAUAUAUAUAUAUAUAUAUAUAUAUAUAUAUAUAUUAUACGUCUCUAAAGUUAUUCAGUUCAAUCAUAUAUAGUUAAAUAGUAUAGAUAUAAUACCCAAAGAUGUAGUAAAUGUAUGCAUUUUCAAGCGCAUUACAAAUACAUCUUACUUUUUCAUUUGCUACGACGCAAACUAUCCACCCAGCUUUGUAGCCAACCUUUGCCUUUCUAACACAGCAACAUAUUAGAAGUUUUAUUACAGUACCUUCAAAAAGAACAUAACCAUACGGGAAUGUGAGAUUGUCAUCAUAUGAGUUUGUUGGUGCAGUAUAUGAAAUCAUUGACUAUAAUCUCCACGUUUCAAGUCUUUACCGGGGUCAAUUCUGUGAAAAUUAUACUCAUUCGAUAGCUAUAUUGAAAUGCAUAUACCAUGCUGUUGUAAUUUAUGAAAUAUAAAUAUAGCACAUAAAUUCACAUACCAAUGAGUACAAAUUUAAAGACCAUUGGAACUAUAAUAUAAGGAAGUCAAUCCAUAUAGUGUUGUCUGCCUAUGAGUACCAAUUAGUCCCCAACUUAAAAUAACAGUGCAUCCAGAGGUCCUUACACCAGUCAUCUACUGCAAUGUUGUAACCUAUAAUAUUUUUCCUUCUCUAAAUUUUUAUAAGAAAAUUUUAUAUCAUUCUCCAGGCAAUUUGUCUAGAAUAAACCUCUACUAACCAUUUUAUUUAACAAUAAGAUGAAAAACAAAAGUAUUGACAGUUCAAGAACUCAAUCUUUAGAAAUGAAUAUAAUGCAAUGAUUAAGAAAUUGGGUGCUACAAAAAUUGAGUUUUAACUUCGUCAUCCAGAAAUGAGUGCAGGUCUUUAAUGUGUUAAGAAAAGCAAGAGUCAUAUCAUAACCUUAAGAAACGAAAUAAAAAGAUACAUGUGGAUGACAUUUCCAUGUGAAUAUAUGCAAAGUUGUGUUGCCCUUCUUGCCACGCUUAAUCAAUAUUAGUUGUCCGUAUCUAGAAUUUCCUCGAUCACAAAACUAUCCUGACCUUCAAGUCAUAUGAAGUACAGUUUGACGCUUUUUCUUGAUGGAUAUUAUAUCUAGAUCUUGCUCGUUAAGCGCUUUUAGAAUAUGUAAGGACACACACUUGGCAGUUGUGUUUAAUGCAUUUUUUCCAUUCUUCCUAACAAUUUAUAUGGAGCUCACAGCUGCAUUUAUGCAACUACUCAAAAUACAAGCCCUCUUUAUUUAGCUAGUGUACAUGGAUAUUUAGAUAUGGUGAAGCCAAUUUACUUUAUAAAGUCUAGGCCACAUGGCCAAAUUUCCUUACAAUGCCUGUAAAUGACAUCAUAUGCUUUAUACUGUCAAACAUCGAAAAUACAGAAAAAUUGGGAUUGGUAGACACUCUUUUAUCUCUUUUAAUCCAAAAAACCAGUAUCCUCACCAAAAUCAUAUAUCUAAAGCCCACAAUUCAAAGUUCAAAUGCUCCAGAAAAGAAAAAAAUGUCUUUGCUUCCAUAAAUAAAUCACAUGUCUAUAUGUAAAGACCAAAAGACCUAAGUCUAUUUGUAUUAGUAAGUGUUUUAGUUGACAUGUGUUAUUAACCAUGAAAAUUUCUACAAUGCCAAACCACCUCAAAUUUUGACCUCUAGCUACAACAUUAUUAACAAAAAUUACAAUAUAAGCUACCCAAAUUACCUUUUGGAGUAAAAGCAUGACUAUUGUCUUCAGGAAAAAGUUUCUAUUGCAAAAGUAAAACGUUAAAGGAUCUUCAUCAAUAAGAGUGCAUUUGAAAUUUUAGUGGCAUUAACUUUAAGAUCGACGAUUCGUAAGAACUGUUCUUCUGUAAGAUUACUCCAUAUGAAUAAGCUUUUGUAAGCAUAGUAAAGUUAACAAGAUCAUAAAAGAAGUUCUAAAAAACUAAUAAGGCAUCUUUUUGUUAGAAGAAAAAGAAGUUAGAAGUUGUAUUAGGUUUCAUCAGGGCAACAAAUAUAUAGACUCAAAUACCAAUUUAAGGAAGUAAGUCUAGCCGUUCUAGAAAUUGUUACAAGAAGCGAGUGAUGGUAUAAAAAUUGAUCAAUCAUAAGAAGAUAAAAUAUGAAGUGGAUACUUCCUUAGUUCAUUCUGCAGUGUGCCUCAUCUUAAAAGGAUACACAACGACAAUUCAAAAAUGAUUCUUCAGCUUCAUAUCAUAGAGAAUUGGUUGAAUCAAAAUAUUGUUAAUUAGCUCCAGUUUCUAAUAGAUAUAGGCAAGUUCAUGUCCUGAUCGAACUUCUACAUGAUAGUAGCAAAUUUGCGGCAUAUGCAGGAUAUAAAUCAGGUAAACUUAUCGUAUUCAUCGGCCAUUUCCCCAAUACUUUAAAAGUUUCUAAAUAAUCAAAUGAUAAAUCUAGAACCAAUUUCUGACCCAAAAGAAGCAAAGGAAACACAAAAGGCACAUUUUUUAGUAAUUACACAUAAAAUACUAACCUUUCCUUCAGAUUUAGUAGAGAACUUAAGAUAACUACAUUUUAGGAAAAAAAUUCUAAAUCGUAGUUGAGGUAAGAAAAGGCAUUUACCUGUUUUUUCUUUAAAAUUGGAGUAACAAAUAGGAUGCUUACGAUUUUCAUACAUGCGCGGACAGCAAAGAUCUGAGCCGUACAAACAGCAUCCUGGAAUAAAUUAAUUGACAUAAAUAGAACUCAAUACCAUAACAAUUUCAUCUUCAUCCUUUCCAUUUUUUUUUUGGCCGUAUUGAAACCCUAAUAUGACGGAGAAGAAAACAGCACAAAAUAACAGCUUAUUCGGCAAAGAAGGGAUGAGAGUUAACCUACCUCUCAGCCAACACAAAAUCAAUUGUAGCUUACUUACCAGUUGAAGGAGACAAUAAAUACAAAAUCAUCUAAAUAAUAGAAAUCGACAUCUAUUGAAGAGGGAAAAAGAAUAAAUGUUUACCGAAAAAAUCGAAUUUGGGCAUCUAUUUCCAAACCAAACCUUUAUAAAAAUUGAUACUAUCAUCGAUAUGCAUGUAGAAAUCCAACAACAAACUAUUCAAAAGAACAUACAAAUUUAACAUAUUUUCAGUAAGGUGCCAUCAUCAAUAACCGGGUGUGUUAAACAAAGAUAAGAAAGCAGAAAACUCACUGAUUGAGAAGUAAGGAAAUUAGCAUAGACAACUUGGAACCGAGUGGAGAAAUCUGAACGACAACGAAUUCAAGGUCUCUGAGGAGUAAUAGAAAGGAAGAAGAUGAUUAGUGAUAAUAGGAGGAGUUUCUGGAUUGUACUAUUAGAGUUAGCAGUAGAGAAAUAAUUAUGAAUUAAUUAAAAGUGGAAUAUAUAAGUGUUAGAAAGGAAGAAGAUGAAAAAGUUCAAUUACCAAUUUAUCCCUAAAGGAGUAAUUACUACUGUACUAAUUAACGGGGGUAGGUCAAGGGUAUAAUAGACAAAUAGCCAUGUAGAUGUCGUGUUCGACGAACUCUGUUCGUCCUACCUCACUCCCGUUUCUAUAUAAUAGAAAUUUUUAAUGCUUUGUUGCGCAUGUCUUCUAUACACGUUGAUUCUAU